rnacentral:lncRNA from 13 species
GGGGGGGGGGUAUUUAUUUCUCUUUUAUUCUGUUUAUGAAACCACAAGGAGUAAGGAACAAGGGUGAGGUCAAACAAAAGGGGUCACUGGUCUGUUGUGUUUAUUGUUCGAGUGAAAUCAUGGCUAUUUAUUCACCUCGUGGCGUCUACUCAUGUUGAAAUACCUGUUGUGAAGCAAAGUGUAUUUGGCUCAUUCUGAGAUUAGACAGCGCACUAGUCUCCCAAAUCAAAAUCACAAAUACAGUAGAUGUAUAUCUCGACUACAUGAUUCAAAAGGCAAAUGGUGGAUUAAGAAUGUGAUUUAAGGAGGUAUAAAAUAGCCUAUUGUAAAACAAAUUGCAUGUAAAUAUUCCUACUUGAACUAGUCUGCUUUUUUAUCCACAGUUCGGUAGCAAGAGACAAGACAAAAACAUGUACAAACAUGUCAGACUCAACUGCAUAGCAAACCAGUUUGCAUACUUCUCCUGUUCAUAGGGCUACUAACUGUUUAAUGUCCAGAUAAUAACAAUACUUGUGUUUAGUUAGGUCUUAAGUAUUGCACGUAAUAUCAAAAGAUGAGUUCGAUAUAAUAUUAUACAAAUGGACGUUCACCAGCUGACAGUCUUGAGAGAUAAGAGUAACCUGUAGUGUGGAAAUGUACUCUGGUCUGGAAGAUCAUGAUGUAACAUCAAAGAGAGUAACAAACAUUAGUAAUCACAAAACUAGUCCCACAUUUGAAAAUCCCACAUUUUAGAAAUGCAAAAGUACAGAUUUCCUUGGCAGUUGGGGUCGGGGAAUAUCCCAGAACUGGCGUUCUCAGGUCUCCCAAUGAUAAGAGUUAGGCUGUUCCUCAGUACAGAAUGGGUGAAAAGGGAACUAGCUAUCCUGGUCCUUUCCAAGUGCACAUAUUGGUAGGGGUGCAGGGCAGCAGGACGGUGUCAUUCAGUAACAAGGCAGAAGGGUGCUGGGUGAUACCAUCUUUCACAGGCCAGAGUGGUGCAAGGCGGCCAGGAGAAUGGCAUGUGAACGACCAAAGUAGGCUUUACAGCACAAACAGAUAUUGGACCAGGCUAGCUUUUCGCUGAGUUAACAAAGAGCCCCAUUGGCCCACCCUGAGUCGGACUCCUCGCAGAUACUGAAGCCUGCACAGAGAACUUCUCCCCGGGUGU